rnacentral:rRNA from 1 species
UGGUGGCGUGAGUUGUCUGGUUUAUUCCGUUAACGAACGAGACCUCGACCUGCUAAAUAGCUAGGCGGAUUCUAGGAUUCGUACUAGACUUCUUAGAGGGACUCCCGGUGGUGUACCCGGUGGAAGUUCGAGGCAAUAACA